rnacentral:rRNA from 1 species
AUUGAACGCUGGCGGCAUGCCUUACACAUGCAAGUCGAACGGUACCAGGUCUUCGGAUGCUGACGAGUGGCGAACGGGUGAGUAAUACAUCGGAACGUGCCCGAGAGUGGGGGAUAACGAGGCGAAAGCUUUGCUAAUACCGCAUACGAUCUCAGGAUGAAAGCAGGGGACCGCAAGGCCUUGCGCUCACGGAGCGGCCGAUGGCAGUUUAGGUAGUUGGUGGGAUAAAAGCUUACCAAGCCGACGAUCUGUAGCUGGUCUGAGAGGACGACCAGCCACACUGGGACUGAGACACGGCCCAGACUCCUACGGGAGGCAGCAGUGGGGAAUUUUGGACAAUGGGCGCAAGCCUGAUCCAGCCAUGCCGCGUGCAGGAUGAAGGCCUUCGGGUUGUAAACUGCUUUUGUACGGAACGAAAAGACUCUGGUUAAUACCUGGGGUCCAUGACGGUACCGUAAGAAUAAGCACCGGCUAACUACGUGCCAGCAGCAGCCGCCGUAA